CGCAGGGUAGAGCAGUCUGGUAGCUCGUGGGGCUCAUAACCCCAAGGUCGCAGGUUCAAAUCCUGCCUCUGCAA
rnacentral:tRNA from 3 species